rnacentral:lncRNA from 1 species
AUGGCCUUUACCUUGUACUGACUGCUGCAGGCAGCCCUGCUCUGUGUCAGUGCCAUCGCCAUGCUGCACAAAGAGAAAUUCCUCAAGAACAUUGGCUGGAGAAUAGACCAGAGAAUUGGUGGAUUCGGGGAGGAGCCAGGAAUUAAAUCUCAGCUAAUGAACCGUAUUCAAUCUGUAACAACUGUGAUGAGAAUGCCAUUGAUAAUAGUAAACUCAAUUGCAAUUGUGUUACUUUUAUUAUUUGGAU